UUCUUUGACUUUCUGCAGCCUGGUGAUCAGAGCUGAACAUUUUCCUUUUCCCAUCAUUGGGCCUUGUUUUGUUUCUAAUGAUUUCCUUUACUUUACCAAACAGGUAUGGAUGGAUCUGAUUUUUUGGCAUUACAGACAUAACCUAGCAAUUGCAAAAAUAAUCUGGAUUAUUGCCUACAUGGAAAUAAGAUGCAGACAAAAGAAGAAGACAAAGUGAGUAUUAAGAUGAAAGAAAGUAGGACCUGUUCAUGGGAAGAGGCAGACGCAGUCUGGAUGCUUCAGAGGAUCACCUUGGGAGUUGAUAAUUCAUUCCCUGCCAUCAGUCAAUGCCUGAAACCACCUGCCUUUGGAGGAGAAUGCUAGGAUGAUGUCACCCAAAGGCCACAGGGAAAUACUGCAGCACAAGUGGGAAAUAGCAUUUCCCCUGUUUGAGUGCCUCUGCUAUUCAGUGAAAUAUGUUUCACAAUGGGAAUUUGUGCCCUUUCCAGUAGUGCUGCUGCACCCAAAGAAUAUGCAAGGCAAAAACCGCAGCAAGUCUUGAGUUGCACCGACACUGUUUGCAGCCGUGGAGUCAUUUGCUGAGCCAGGGACACAUUAAGUGGUGUUAGAGUCUUCCUUCUCCCCUCUCUGUGCUGCACAUGGCUGCUGUCCUGAUGUGAGGCUUUAAGGGGUAGCAGGCAGACUCUCCUCCCUGUUCUUUCAGGCUUUAGGUGUUCCUGAUGCUGCUGGUCCAGUUUCAUGCCAGAAGAACAGUUGCUGGGUUCAGGCACCAGCACAUUCUGUUCAUACUCCAUCUCUGCACUGCCAUGGCCAGCCAUCUGUAUCUGCAGUUGAACCCGAACCUUGUCUACACCUGCAGUUCAUUCAUUGGCAGCUACUGUUCCAUGAUAUCACUCAAGUGUGAGCCUUUGCAUGGGUAAGCUGUCUUUCCUUAUAAUUUCAGGUCAGGGUGAGCUUUUUUUAUCACUCCAUAGAAAUGAUGCCUCUUCUGUCCUGAGUGCUUUAUUGAGGUGGCCAUACCAAUAGCUUGGGAAAAUGGAGCUGAGCCAUGUACUGAUGGGCUCUUUGAGGGCUGCCUUCUGUCCCAUUCUGUUGCUGGGAAAAGUGCUGGUCAGUGGGACCACUCUGCAAGGUGCUCCUAAAGAAGAACAAAGAUAUCUGAGACAUCUUUCAAAGACAGCAGCAUCCCACAAAGACAGGAACAAGGCUGGUGCUUGCUGAGGAAUUCCUGAACAGCUUCAGCUUCAUUUCCCUUUUUUCUAAGCCCACAUCCUGUCUCUGCAAACUAAUAACAAAGUGCUGAAGUUGUCACAGCCAUCAUAGACACAGCCUAGAGCUGGCACACUCUUGACUAUUCUGUUUUGUGAACUUUUUUGUUCCAUGGGAGAUUUGAGACUUAAACACUCACUUGGUUUGUACCUCCUUAUUUGAGACUGACCAGUCUGAACCACUUUUGAUUGAUAAACUAUCAGUAGGAGUCUCAAACGUAGUUAAGUUCCUAUCAGUUUAAUUAAAAUAGAUUACUGGAUAGAGAAGCCCUGUGAAAUGCUCCCAUUGAGGAGAAAGCUACACCAUGAGUGCUCCCCUGAGUAAUCACCAGAGGCUGCUAUCAGCAAUAUAAUCAGCAAUGUCUGGUAUCACUGGGUACUGAAGAGCUCAACUUGAAACUCACACUUCAGCACAUGCCAAAGAACGGUUGAGACACGAGUGACUGAGGACUAAUCAUGUCCACCAUAUCGUAA